rnacentral:rRNA from 1 species
GACGAACGCUGGCGGCGUGCUUAACACAUGCAAGUCGAACGAAGUGGCGAACGGGUGAGUAAUACGUGGGUAACCUGCCCUCCUUUUUGGGAUAAGCCUUGGCAACGGGGUCUAAUACCGAAUACAGUGUGAUGGGCUCGCGGCUUAUCAGCUUGUUGGUGUGGUGAUGGCCUACCAAGGCGGUGACGGGUAGCCGGCCUGAGAGGGUGACCGGCGACAUUGGGACUGAGAUACGGCCCAGACUCCUACGGGAGGAAGCAGUGGGGGAUAUUGGGCAAUGGGCGCUAGCCUGAACCAGCCAAGUAGCGUGAAGGAUGAAGGCUUAUGGGUCGUAAACUUCUUUUAUAGAAGAAUAUGUAUUAUAUGAAUAAGGAUCGGCUAACUCCGUGCCAGCAGCCGCGGUAAUAC